rnacentral:rRNA from 1 species
UACGGGGGGGGCAAGCGUUGUUCGGAAUUACUGGGCGUAAAGGGCGCGUAGGCGGUUGGAUAAGUCAGCUGUGAAAACCACGGGCUUAACUCGUGGCCUGCAGUUGAGACUGUCUGGCUUGAGUGUGGGAGAGGAGAGUGGAGUUCCUGGUGUAGCGGUGAAAUGCGUAGAUAUCAGGAGGAACACCGGUGGCGAAGGCGGCUCUCUGGACCACAACUGACGCUGAGGCGCGAAAGCUAGGGGAGCAAACAGG